GACGAACGCUGGCGGCGUGCUUAACACAUGCCAGUCGAACGGAAAGGCCCUGCUUGCAGGGUACUCGAGUGGCGAACGGGUGAGUAACACUUGGGUGAUCUGCCCUGCACUUCGGGAUAAGCCUGGGAAACUGGGUCUAAUACCGGAUAGGAGCCAUUUUUAGUGUGAUGGUUGGAAAGUUUUUUCGGUGUAGGAUGAGCUCGCGGCCUAUCAGCUUGUUGGUGGGGUAAUGGCCUACCAAGGCGGCGACGGGUAGCCGGCCUGAGAGGGUGGACGGCCACAUUGGGACUGAGAUACGGCCCAGACUCCUACGGGAGGCAGCAGUGGGGAAUAUUGCACAAUGGGCGCAAGCCUGAUGCAGCGACGCCGCGUGGGGGAUGACGGCCUUCGGGUUGUAAACUCCUUUCGCUAGGGACGAAGCUUUUGUGACGGUACCUAGAUAAGAAGCACCGGCUAACUACGUG
rnacentral:rRNA from 1 species